UACAGAGGGUGCGAGCGUUAAUCGGAAUUACUGGGCGUAAAGCGUGCGUAGACGGUUAUUUAAGUCGGGUGUGAAAGCCCCGGGCUCAACCUGGGAAUUGCAUUCGAGACUGAAUAGCUAGGGUACGGUAGAGGGAAGUGGAAUUUCCGGUGUAGCGGUGAAAUGCGUAGAUAUCGGAAGGAACAUCAGUGGCGAAAGCGACUUCCUGGACCAGUACCGACGUUCAGGCACGAAAGCGUGGGGGAGCAAACAGG
rnacentral:rRNA from 1 species